rnacentral:rRNA from 1 species
UAGAUCUGCUGCUGCUGCUGCUGCUGCUAUCAGCAUUGCACUGGCAGCCCUGCAGCUGCAGCCUUUACUUACUCUAUGGCCAGCCUUUUAGCAGCAACACCACCAAUCUGGCUGCUGGGAAAA